CCUACGGGAGGCAGCAGUGAGGAAUAUUGGUCAAUGGACGAGAGUCUGAACCAGCCAAGUAGCGUGAAGGAUGACUGCCCUAUGGGUUGUAAACUUCUUUUAUAUGGGAAUAAAAUGUUCCACGUGUGGGAUUUUGUAUGUACCAUAUGAAUAAGGAUCGGCUAACUCCGUGCCAGCAGCCGCGGUAAUACGGAGGAUCCGAGCGUUAUCAGGAUUUAUUGGGUUUAAAGGGAGCGUAGGGGGAUUGUUAAGUCAGUUGUGAAAGUUUGCGGCUCAACCGUAAAAUUGCAGUUGAAACUGGCAGUCUUGAGUACAGUAGAGGUGAGCGGAAUUCGUGGUGUAGCGGUGAAAUGCUUAGAUAUCACGAAGAACUCCGAUUGCGAAGGCAGUUCACUGGACUGCAACUGACACUGAGGCUCGAAAGUGUGGGUAUCAAACAGGAUUAGAUACCCCUGUAGUC
rnacentral:rRNA from 1 species